rnacentral:rRNA from 1 species
AGAUUAAGUUAUUAAGGGCGCACGGUGGAUGCCUUGGCACUAGAAGCCGAUGAAGGACGUUACUAACGACGAUAUGCUUUGGGUAGCUGUAAGUAAGCGUUGAUCCAGAGAUUUCCGAAUGGGGGAACCCAGCAUGAGUUAUGUCAUGUUAUCGACAUGUGAAUUCAUAGCAUGUCAGAAGGCAGACCCGGAGAACUGAAACAUCUUAGUACCCGGAGGAAGAGAAAGAAAAAUCGAUUCCCUGAGUAGCGGCGAGCGAAACGGGAAGAGCCCAAACCAACAAGCUUGCUUGUUGGGGUUGUAGGACACUCUAUACGGAGUUACAAAAGAACAUGUUAGACGAAUCAUCUGGAAAGAUGAAUCAAAGAAGGUAAUAAUCCUGUAGUCGAAAACAUAUUCUCUCUUGAGUGGAUCCUGAGUACGACGGAGCACGUGAAAUUCCGUCGGAAUCUGGGAGAACCAUCUCCUAAGGCUAAAUACUCUCUAGUGACCGAUAGUGAACCAGUACCGUGAGGGAAAGGUGAAAAGUACCCCGGAAGGGGAGUGAAAGAGAACUUGAAACCGUGUGCUUACAAGUAGUCAGAGCCCGUUAAUGGGUGAUGGCGUGCCUUUUGUAGAAUGAACCGGCGAGUUACGAUCUGAUGCAAGGUUAAGCAGCAAAUGUGGAGCCGCAGCGAAAGCGAGUCUGAAUAGGGCGUUGAGUAUUUGGUCGUAGACCCGAAACCAGGUGAUCUACCCUUGGUCAGGUUGAAGUUCAGGUAACACUGAAUGGAGGACCGAACCGACUUACGUUGAAAAGUGAGCGGAUGAACUGAGGGUAGCGGAGAAAUUCCAAUCGAACUUGGAGAUAGCUGGUUCUCUCCGAAAUAGCUUUAGGGCUAGCCUCAAGUGAUGAUUAUUGGAGGUAGAGCACUGUUUGGACGAGGGGCCCCUCUCGGGUUACCGAAUUCAGACAAACUCCGAAUGCCAAUUAAUUUAACUUGGGAGUCAGAACAUGGGUGAUAAGGUCCGUGUUCGAAAGGGAAACAGCCCAGACCACCAGCUAAGGUCCCAAAAUAUAUGUUAAGUGGAAAAGGAUGUGGCGUUGCCCAGACAACUAGGAUGUUGGCUUAGAAGCAGCCAUCAUUUAAAGAGUGCGUAAUAGCUCACUAGUCGAGUGACACUGCGCCGAAAAUGUACCGGGGCUAAACAUAUUACCGAAGCUGUGGAUUGUCCUUUGGACAAUGGUAGGAGAGCGUUCUAAGGGCGUCGAAGCAUGAUCGCAAGGACAUGUGGAGCGCUUAGAAGUGAGAAUGCCGGUGUGAGUAGCGAAAGACGGGUGAGAAUCCCGUCCACCGAUUGACUAAGGUUUCCAGAGGAAGGCUCGUCCGCUCUGGGUUAGUCGGGUCCUAAGCUGAGGCCGACAGGCGUAGGCGAUGGAUAACAGGUUGAUAUUCCUGUACCACCUAGUAUCGUUUUAAUCGAUGGGGGGACGCAGUAGGAUAGGCGAAGCGUGCUGUUGGAGUGCACGUCCAAGCAGUAAGGCUGAGUGUUAGGCAAAUCCGGCACUCAUAAGGCUGAGCUGUGAUGGGGAGAGGAAAUUGUUUCCUCGAGUCGUUGAUUUCACACUGCCGAGAAAAGCCUCUAGAUAGAUAACAGGUGCCCGUACCGCAAACCGACACAGGUAGUCAAGAUGAGAAUUCUAAGGUGAGCGAGCGAACUCUCGUUAAGGAACUCGGCAAAAUGACCCCGUAACUUCGGGAGAAGGGGUGCUCUUUAGGGUUCACGCCCAGAAGAGCCGCAGUGAAUAGGCCCAAGCGACUGUUUAUCAAAAACACAGGUCUCUGCUAAACCGUAAGGUGAUGUAUAGGGGCUGACGCCUGCCCGGUGCUGGAAGGUUAAGAGGAGUGGUUAGCUUCUGCGAAGCUACGAAUCGAAGCCCCAGUAAACGGCGGCCGUAACUAUAACGGUCCUAAGGUAGCGAAAUUCCUUGUCGGGUAAGUUCCGACCCGCACGAAAGGCGUAACGAUUUGGGCACUGUCUCAACGAGAGACUCGGUGAAAUCAUAGUACCUGUGAAGAUGCAGGUUACCCGCGACAGGACGGAAAGACCCCGUGGAGCUUUACUGUAGCCUGAUAUUGAAAUUCGGCACAGCUUGUACAGGAUAGGUAGGAGCCUUUGAAACGUGAGCGCUAGCUUACGUGGAGGCGUUGGUGGGAUACUACCCUAGCUGUGUUGGCUUUCUAACCCGCACCACUUAUCGUGGUGGGAGACAGUGUCAGGCGGGCAGUUUGACUGGGGCGGUCGCCUCCUAAAAGGUAACGGAGGCGCUCAAAGGUUCCCUCAGAAUGGUUGGAAAUCAUUCAUAGAGUGUAAAGGCAUAAGGGAGCUUGACUGCGAGACCUACAAGUCGAGCAGGGUCGAAAGACGGACUUAGUGAUCCGGUGGUUCCGCAUGGAAGGGCCAUCGCUCAACGGAUAAAAGCUACCCCGGGGAUAACAGGCUUAUCUCCCCCAAGAGUUCACAUCGACGGGGAGGUUUGGCACCUCGAUGUCGGCUCAUCGCAUCCUGGGGCUGUAGUCGGUCCCAAGGGUUGGGCUGUUCGCCCAUUAAAGCGGUACGCGAGCUGGGUUCAGAACGUCGUGAGACAGUUCGGUCCCUAUCCGUCGUGGGCGUAGGAAAUUUGAGAGGAGCUGUCCUUAGUACGAGAGGACCGGGAUGGACAUACCUCUGGUGUACCAGUUGUCGUGCCAACGGCAUAGCUGGGUAGCUAUGUAUGGACGGGAUAAGUGCUGAAAGCAUCUAAGCAUGAAGCCCCCCUCAAGAUGAGAUUUCCCAACUUCGGUUAUAAGAUCCCUCGAAGAUGACGAGGUUAAUAGGUUCGAGGUGGAAGCGUGGUGACACGUGGAGCUGACGAAUACUAAUCGAUCGAAGACUUAAUCAAUUU